rnacentral:rRNA from 1 species
ACCAAAUAGAUACCCAGGUAGUCCACGCCCUAAACCGAUGCGAACUGGAUGUUGGGUACAUUACGGUACUCAGUGUCGAAAGCUAAACGCGUUAAGUUCGCCGCCUGGGGAGUACGGUCGCAAGACUGAAACUCAAAGGAAUUGACGGGGGCCCGGCACAAGCGGUGGAGUAUGUGGUUUAAUUCGAUGCAACGCGAAGAACCUUACCUGGCCUUGACAUCUGUCGAAUCCUGCAGAGAUGCGGGAGUGCCGCAAGGAACGACAAGACAGGUGCUGCAUGGCUGUCGUCAGCUCGUGUCGUGAGAUGUUGGGUUAAGUCCCGCAACGAGCGCAACCCUUGUCCCUAGUUGCCAGCACGUAAUGGUGGGAACUCUAGGGAGACUGCCGGUGACAAA